GACGAACGCUGGCGGCGUGCUUAACACAUGCAAGUCGAACGGAAAGGCCCUGCUUUUGUGGGGUGCUCGAGUGGCGAACGGGUGAGUAACACGUGAGUAACCUGCCCUUGACUUUGGGAUAACUUCAGGAAACUGGGGCUAAUACCGGAUAGGAGCUCCUGCUGCAUGGUGGGGGUUGGAAAGUUUCGGCGGUUGGGGAUGGACUCGCGGCUUAUCAGCUUGUUGGUGGGGUAGCGGCUUACCAAGGCUUUGACGGGUAGCCGGCCUGAGAGGGUGAACGGCCACAUGGGGACUGAGAUACGGGCCAGAGUCCUACGGGAGGCAGCAGUGGGGAAGAGUGCACAAUGGGCGGAAGCCUGAUGCAGCAACGCCGCGUGCGGGAUGACGGCCUUCGGUUUGGAAACCGCUUUCGCCUGUGACGAAGCGUGAGUGACGGUAAUGGAUAAAGAAGCACCGGCUAACUACGUG
rnacentral:rRNA from 1 species